GAGGUAUCGGCACAAAAGGGAAGGAGAAGGUCAUUAAGGAAUAAUCAAGCAAAUUCGGGUUGAAAUAGGGGUCUGAGUCUCGGUUCAGCAUCCAGGUCAAUCCCGACUCCUGCAUAGAGAUUUUGGUGAUGUUUUCUUCCUUAAAUGAAAGUGGCAUGUACAUAAGAAUUAUAAUAGUUAUUUUGGUAUGCUAUAUAGUUUUGUUGUAAACUAAGAUAUUAUGUGUUUUGAUGAUUAUAUUAGUAAAAUGGUAAAAGUUCUUUA